GCGUCCAUGGUGGAAUUGGUAGACACGCUACCUUGAGGUGGUAGUGGGGCAACCCUUGGGAGUUCGAGUCUCCCUGGACGCACCA
rnacentral:tRNA from 1 species